UUUAGAAUGGGGUGUAAUAGGUAGCACGGAGAAUUUUGAAUUCUCAGGUAUAGGUUCAAUUCCUAUUGUUCUAG
rnacentral:tRNA from 1 species